rnacentral:rRNA from 1 species
UACGUAGGGGGCAAGCGUUGUCCGGAUUUAUUGGGCGUAAAGCGCGCGUAGGCGGCAAGGUAUGUCGUGCGUGAAAUCUCCCGGCUUAACUGGGAGGGGCCGUGCGAAACUGGUGGGCUUGAAUCCGGGAGAGGGAUGCGGAAUUCCAGGUGUAGCGGUGAAAUGCGUAGAUAUCUGGAGGAACACCGGUGGCGAAGGCGGCAUCCUGGACCGGCAUUGACGCUGAGGCGCGAAAGCUAGGGGAGCAAACGGG